GUAGAACUGAGCAUGAUCUUGGAGAAAAUCUGCAUACAUUACUGAUCUCUGAACCAUUUACCCUUCAUGUGCCUCUUUUUCCGUGUAUGUGCCUCUUUUUCCUUCUAUGUAAAAUAAGUGAAAGAAAGAGGAGAGCUAGAUGAUACCACUGUAACUCUUGUAUUUCAAGACACUCAUUUCUGCCUUGUCGCAGAUUACAGUCAUUUAGAGAUACAGAAAUAGGUAUUACAGUCAGAAUCCACAUUUUAGAGUAUAUCUGCUGACCCCAUGUCUGUGGAAGAUACUGAGAUGCAGAUACUGAGAAUGGGCCUCAAAAUUUUUCUCAAGACUGUACUCCAGGAAGCUAUGCUGAACCAAAUGAAAUUGGCCCUACUUGUCAUCCUAGCAUAGCAGGUUUCGGUUUAUGAAAGACAGAGAAUAUGCAACUCUCUCAGCCACCUAAAUAUGAAGUGGCUUUCCACAGAUCUCUUUUCGAAGGAUACAUGCUUCCUCUUUUGUAAUCGGCAGUCACAAUGAUUUGUAUGACAGAUGCUAGCCCAAGAGAGAGUUCCAGAAGAGGGCUACCUAACAGGUGCUGUGGCAUUUAGAAGAGGAAUGGAGCCACUGUCUACGCACAGCUUGCAGGGGAACAGGAGAGUCAGCCUGAGAAGGAAAUGUGAUGAUGGAAACAGAGGUUGGAAGAUGGAAGGGGACCCAGAGCCAAGGAAUACAGGUAGAAAAGAAAAGCCUGGAUUCUCCCCUAAAGCCUCCAGAUGGAACACAGCCCUGCCUCCAACUUGAUUUGAGAACUUCUUACCCCAAGAACCGUGUCUGUCUUCAUCCUAAGGAGUCAACUGCUGUACCUUAAUGAUUUCAAUGUAAUUGUUUGGUCUGUAAGUCUUUCUUGCCACUGUGGUUCUGGGGCCAUUGUUCUGCAACGAUGAAUAAACAAUGUUUUAGAAAUCACUCAUCCAAGAAAGGUGACAAGAUACUGGAAUAGAGGUAUUUGAAAAAUAUUCAUGGGAAUUUUAGAGGAUUGUAGAUGGUCUGAGUACCUGUGAAGACAUCAUCUAAUGUAUCUAAAAACCGCAUAAUGCUUCAUCUCAAUGUAUUUUAAGAAUUAAUUUUGUUAUAAGCUAGAAUUUUUCAUUUUGGUUUUAAUAAUAACAUCACAAGGUUUUUUAACAUAAAUUAGAAAGGGCAUACAUGGAGAAGUAAAGAAAAAUUCUUGGGAUUAGCCAAAAAUUAGUGAGAGAUUACAUAUUUCCUUAGAUGAAAAAUCCUACAGGCAAACUUUUAAUGUCAGGGAGAGGAAUACUUUAUUACCUAAUAUAAUGUAGAUGAAAAGAAUAGUUAAGCAUUCUUUUUUAAAGCAGUAUACAGAAAUGAGAGAAAGGAUAAGAGGUUAACUCAUUUCUAUUUUGAACUCUAUUUUUUUAAAACCCUUGCUCCAAAUUUUACUUACUAUCUUUUAAAUGUCAUCCUACUAGAGUGUAAGUCUUUAGUUUUAGUUGCUUAAUAAAAAUUCAGUUUUUGUGACAAAAGGCAGACCAUUCAGAAAGUGUGCUAUAUUUUUUUUGACUCAGUUACCCAGACCUAAGGGGAUGCAGAGAGUGUGGAUAUCAUGGCUGCCGCCCAGGCAGCAGCUUCCAAGGUCAGUGCCUGGGCAGAAAAGAAGCAUCACCUUUGGAAUAUAAGUCAUGUUGAUAUGUAACAAUUAAACGAUGGCAGGCAUCACAGUGCCACUUUCCAAUGCACCAAAUUCAUUUCCAGUGUGAGCUUUUAGUAUGUGGAACACCUGCCAGCUGUGGAGAAAUGGAAAAUGCACUGAAUUAGGAGUCGGAGGGCUAGGCUGCCAUCUGUCACUUUUACUUAUGUGCUGUGUGGGCUUGGGCAAACCAUUCAACUUUUGGGGGCUCAAUUUUCUCAUUGGUAAAACAGUGAUGGUAGGAGAGAGGUCCUUGGAAAGUCUUCACUUUCUAGGAUCGUGGGAUUGAAUCUUCUCAAGAGGUUGCAGAUACUUCCUAGAGCAAAACAAGCACUCCAAAUAUGCUGGCUCCUUCCUUCAUUUCUUCCUGCAGUACUGAGCACUGACAAGGCUACAGUAAAGCUGGCUCUGCCAGCCAAGAAUAGCAUGAUCUGCGACAUCUGCCUGCUACACCCUGGCCCAGCCACUCAGUGUUCCUGCUGCUUGGUGGGUGGAAGAAGACAUGAGCCCAUGAUGCUACCUGAGCAGAUGGAAACCUUGUCUCUUAAGACUUCAAGCACUUGGGGAGCAACUAACUCUUUUCCAUAUUUGGAUUUCAAAAUAAAAUCCCUAAACUGGAUAGCAAUCUAAUUUAAAACUAGAAUGACCAAGUGGUUCCACUGAUCAGAGUCUGAGAAAUAGAAAAAGCAGCUCCACCAGAAAUAUUUGGAAAAGGAGGCUCUGAGCUGAGGGUGGGCCUGGUUUGGGAGGCAUCAGCAUGAGGAACUGGAAGUGGACAAGGACAAGGACAAGGAUGCCUUAACGUUUCUUCAUCAAUGGCCAACGGCUUUGUAAGAGAGGAUUCCCCACUUGGGAUCAAUAAGCAGUUCUCAGCAGAUAUUCCUUAAAGCAUAUGAAAGUGUGGAAGCAAUCAUACUGUGGGGGAGUUUCCAUGGGGCUCCAAGCAUGCUUAGGUGAAAGAAUGAAAGCUGCCCUAGAGAGCUCAAGAGAAAGGAAAAGAAACAGCUGUGAGCAUCUCUGGAAGAAAGAAACGUUUAAUAUAUGCACACAGGGUGGGAAAGAGAGCAAGGGAGUGGGGAAAACAGCAGGAAACAGCAUAUUUCCAUUCAUUUCACUUUUAAAAACAUAAUUGUUUAAAAAAAUUCAAGGACUGGUUCAUACUAUAUGAGAAUUUGCUUUUUAAAAAAUGAGCAAACAAAUCAGGCUUUAACUUAAAAAUUACAAUAAUGCCACCUUUACUAUUCACUGUCUCAUCAAUGUGGGCUUGACAGUACUUACUAGAAUGACAAGGUUUAAUAUUUUAGUAGACAGUACCGUUUAAUGCUAUACACACUGAAUUUAACUUGCACUUAACUUGAAAUUGGAUGAAAUUGGACAGACUGAUUCAAAGAUGGAAAUCAGGUCUAUACUGCUUCUUCUUUAGGGUAGAUUAAAGGAUUGUUGGUCUGUAAAGCAAUCAAGAUGAUAGGAAUAUGUGUUGAAAAACUAAAUUAAAAGAAAGAUGGAAAAGGGGGAGGUAGCUGCCACCUAGUAUGCUGUACCUCGACUUAAUCUUUCUGAGUCUUGGUUUCCUCAUCUGCAAAAUGAUUAUAAUACCACCCAUUUCAUAGGCUUGUUGUGAAGAUAAGGUUACAUAAGGACUUAUAACAGCUUAGUAGAUACUGAGUAAAUAAAUGGUUUAAUUUCUCUGGCAGACCCCUCUGCCCAGAUCCACAGUCACCAGUGUUCCUGGCAAUCAUUUGUUGGCUGCCAUGUAGAAAUACAUGACAUGUCAUCUAAGGCAAAUAAGGUAUUGUAGAAGUAAAUGACAUGUCAUCUAAGGCAAAUAAGGUAUUGUAGAAAUGCAUGACAUGUCAUGUAUUGUCAUCUAAGGCAAAUAGGGUAUUGGUGACUGGAUCUAAGUUUUCCCUUUUUCCAACCUUGAGGGAUGGGAGUUAAAUUAGGAAAAUGGAUAUUUUGUCUUUCUUGCUGUGUCAGACACUUUUUGGUUAGGAGUAGGACAUGAUGGCUAUUUUGAUGUCUCUGUUAAUCAUAGACUAGAUGGUUACCAGGCAGCUGAAACAUUUUCUGGCAUGGUUGACUUACUGCUGCCCUAUAGGGAGAUAGCUUUACAGAGGUUCCCAAAGGAAACUCAACAAUAAGUGUCCACUCCUCUUGGAUAUUAUGCUAGGCACGUUCAAAUGCAGCAUCUCAUUUGCCCUUCAGAUUUGCCAUGGUAGUAUCUCCACUUUAAGGAAGAAAAGACUUAACUGAGAAGGAUUGAAUUGUUUGCCUGCAUACUUAUUUUAUUCAGUAUCUAUACUGAGACUAGAGGUAACAUUGAGCCUGAGUUCCUUGUGAGCUGGUAGAAGAUGAAGGAAAUAAGAAAGAGUAAGGACCAAGCUUGUCAACGCUCAUUUCCAGUCUCCAUUGCUUCUGCUGUGUACAUCUCUGCAACGUUCUCAAGGCACCUCUUGAGUUGUCCAGCACACAGAGAAUCUCUCCAGCUAUCCACAGCACCCCUCAAAGCCUAAGCUCAGGAAGUAAGCCACAGCCCACUCUGCAUGCCAGUGCAGACAGCUACCCAUGGAAGGACCUGUUUCAGAACUCACUUUAUUUCAUCAAUGAGCUUCAUUUCACUGACAAGCAAACAUGUCUAGGUCAGCCAUGAGUGAUUCUCUAGGGAGAGCUGAGUUACAGGACGAUUCACAAGUUUCUCAUAUAUAUAUGAUAUAUCUGAUAUGUUAUAUGUAUAUAUGAGAUAUAUAUAUAAAAUCUUAAUUCUUGCAACCACCCUAUGAAGUAAACAUUAUUACUCUCUACAGACAAAAAAGUUCAAGGUGGUUAAGAGGUUUGCUGAAGGUCACAAGAAGUGGCAAAGCAGUAAGGCACAAUACUGUCUAUUACUGAAGUAUAUGGUCUUUCCACCUCACCGUAGGAUCUCUCAAAUAAUUAAUACUUACACUAAAAUGGGGGCAUCAAACCUGGGCUCUGUGAUUUAAAGUCUGCUGCUUUCCUAAAUGAAAUUCUUCCUCUAUAAAGUUAACUUUAUCCCUUCAUCCCCUAUACGAAGAUAAAUUCAUGGAUCAGAGAUUGGAAGAGUGAUUGUUCCUUGUAAGGCAUCUCUUAAAUUUAUGAUCCUAGUAACUGGGGACCUCCUGCUGGAUUAGCCUUGCAUCUUUCCUCGCUUCCAUCAUAGAGGCUAACAAGACUGUUGAUUCUUUCUUUCUGUUGUUUCCUGUGUUCACUCCUGUCUAUCCAGUCCCACUGUCACCACUCUCCUACAUUAUUUCAAUAGUCUCCUAAUUUCUUGCCUCCAAACUUUCCUUGUCUUUUCCCAUUCUAAACCCUACUGCUAGAUAAUCUUCUCAAAACAUCAUUUUGCAAUAUCAGCUCUCAUUCAGAAACACUCCAUUGACACCAUGCAGCCAUUUAGGCUGAUAAUGGAAAAUAACAGUUAAUGACAUGAUAUGGAAAAAAUGUUCAGAUUAUGUUAUUAAGUGAAAAGAAAACAGAUUACAAAAUAAGUAAAAUGUUAAUAUUGGUGAUCUGGGCCAGGUGCAGUGGGUCACGCUUGUAAUCCCAUCACUUUGGGAGGCUGAGGUGGGCUGAUCACCUGAGGUCAGGAGUUCGAGGCCAGCCUGGCCAAUAUGGCAAAACCCCAUCUCUAUUAAAAAUACAAAA